AUAAGAGGUCCAGCCUGCCCAGUGACACUGUUCAACGGCCGCGGUAUCCUAACCGUGCGAAGGUAGCGUAAUCACUUGUCCUUUAAAUGGGGACUAGUAUGAAUGGCACCACGAGGGUUAUACUGUCUCCUUUUUCCAGUCAGUGAAACUAAUCUCCCCGUGAAGAAGCGGGGAUGCACCUAUAAGACGAGAAGACCCUAUGGAGCUUUAAACGAAACAACAUUUGCUUUAACACACACGGAUCUCAGGAAAUUAACCCUUAUUUUAGCAUCAUGACUGUUAGUUUUAGGUUGGGGUGACCGCGGAGUAAAAAAUAACCUCCACAAUGAAUGGGGACCUCCCCUAAGCAAAAAGCCACAACUUCACGCAUCAACAAAUUGACAUCAAUUGACCCAAUAUUUUGAUCAACGGAACAAGUUACCCUAGGGAUAACAGCGCAAUCCACUUCGAGAGCCCGUAUCGACAAGUGGGUUUACGACCUCGAUGUUGGAUCAGGG
rnacentral:rRNA from 1 species